UACGUAGGGAGCAAGCGUUGUCCGGAAUUACUGGGCGUAAAGGGUGCGUAGGCGGCGCAGUUAGUCAGAAGUGAAAUAUCGGGGCUUAACCCCGGGGCUGCUUCUGAUACUGCUGUGCUCGAGUGCAGGAGAGGUAAGUGGAAUUCCUAGUGUAGCGGUGAAAUGCGUAGAUAUAUGGAAGAACACCAGUGGCGAAGGCGGCCGCCUGGCCUGUUACUGACGCUGAGGCACGAAAGCGUGGGGAGCAAAUAGG
rnacentral:rRNA from 1 species